CGUAGGUGGCAAGCGUUGUCCGGAGUUACUGGGUGUAAAGGGCGUGUAGGCGGGAAGAUAAGUCAGAUGUGAAAUUCCAUGGCUCAACUGUGGCGCUGCAUCUGAAACUAUUUUUCUUGAGUGAUGGAGAGGAAAGCGGAAUUCCUAGUGUAGCGGUGAAAUGCGUAGAUAUUAGGAGGAACACCAGUGGCGAAGGCGGCUUUCUGGACAUUAACUGACGCUGAGGCGCGAAAGCGUGGGGAGCAAACAGGAUUAGAUACCCUGGUAGUCCACGCUGUAAACGAUGGAUACUAGGUGUAGGAGGUAUCGACCCCUUCUGUGCCGGAGUUAACACAAUAAGUAUCCUACCUGGGGAGUACGGCCGCAAGGUUG
rnacentral:rRNA from 1 species